UUUUGUGUAUUAGAGCAUGAUUCAACCUAUUAGGGAUAAUCAGAUGAAAAGAUUAAAGAGAUUUAGAGAUUCUAGUGAGAGAAUAAAGAGAGAGAGACUCAAAACUCCAUUAAUUAAUAACUGAUGAGGUUUACAAGUAUUAAUAGAGAGAGCAACAAGGAAAUUCGAAAUGGUUAAGCAUGUGUAGUCAAGGGACAGGCUGGAACUCCUUUUGAAUCACUUGGCUGUGCUUUCUCACAUGCUUGCACUAGUAUAAAGGUAACUUCUCCUUUCCAGCAUCAUACAGGCUGUCAAAGUGAUCCCUUAUCCUUCCUUAACCUCACUUAUCCUCUUUGGUCGAGUUUCCUCUCUUCUCUUCACUAAGUUACCUUCUCAUCCCAUCAGAUAACUUCCCCAAGUAGUUACUGUGGUUAAAAUAAAGUUACCACAGUAAAACUCUAAAGUUACUGUCUCAGCCUCCUUGGUCUUCAUCUCAAUACUCCCCCUCAAGCUUGACCAUGUAGAACAAGUCAAGCUUGGAAACCAUGAAGACCUCCCUCGUUAAAAACCUCACCAAGUAAAACCCAUUGGGAUAAAACCUUGAUGAGGGAAAAAGAGUGGAGACUCCAUGGUUAAGGGGCUCAGCUCCUAGGAGUCAGAUCAAUGAGUCCAAGCCUUGACAGUAUGGACUCCAUUGUCUUCAAUCUCGCUGCCUUAGUAAACACAUCUGCAAGCUGAUCUUCACUUCUUGUAUAACAUGGCAGAAUCACUCCUAAGAUGAUCAUCUGCCUCACCUUAUGACAAUCCACCUCUAUGUGCUUUGUUCUCUCAUGAAACACUGAAUUGGAGGCAAUGUGGAUAGCUGCUUGAUUGUCACAAUGCAUUGUCAUAGGUGUGGCCUGCUCGAUCUCCAAGUGCUUCAAGAUCCCCUUGAUCCACACCAACUCAUUUGUAAGCUUCAACAUAGCUCUAUACUCAGCUUCAGCACUUGAACAGGAGAUGACCUUCUGCUUCUUACUCUUCCAAGUAACCAGAUUCCCUCCAAUGAAUGUACAAUACCCAGUAGUUGAUCUCCUGUCCACUCUAUCUCCUGCCCAAUCAGCAUCACAAUACCCAACCACUUCUGUACUGCCAUUGCAACCCAUCCAAACUCCUUGUCCAUGUGAGCCACUCAAAUACCUCAGUAUCCUAUCAACCAUCUUCCAGUGAUGUACCUUUGGCGCUUGCAUAUGUUGGCUCACUUGAUUCACAGCAAAGCAUAUAUCAGGUCUGGUGAUAGUCAAGUAGAUCAGCUUACCCACCAUCCUCCUAUACAGCUUAGCAUCCUCAAACAACUGGUUCUCUUCAACCUCCCCCUCACGCAAGACCUUAUACCCUUCCUCAAGAGGUGUCUUAGCUAUCUUCCCUCCAAGCACAUCAGUCUCCUUCAGCAUAUCCAUAGUAUACUUCCUUUGAGACAUAAACAAACCCUCCUUAGAUCUGCAUAUCUCAAUCCCCAAAAAAUACUUCAUCUCUCCCAAGUCUUUAAUAUCAAACACAGACUUGAGAAACUCUUUGGUGGCUUUAAUCCCAGCCUUAUCACUCCCUGUGAUAAUCAAAUCAUCCACAUACACCAGAAUCACUAUGAUCCCUGAUGGUCCAACCAGUGUGAAGAGUGUAUGAUCUAGUUCAGACUUCCUGAACCCUCUCCCAUUGAGAGUUGUACUAAGCUUUCUGUACCAAGCUCUAGGAGACUGCUUCAGCCCAUAUAUAGCCUUCUUCAAUCUCAAAACAUUCCCUGGCUUUACUAGAUGCUCAAGACCAGGAGGUGGAUGCAUGUAUACUUCAUCUUCAAGUUCACCUUGCAAGAAAGCAUUCUUCACAUCCAUUUGCCACAAAUCCCACUCCAAGUUUGUUGCAAUAGAUAACACAAUUCGAAUUGUGUGAAGCUUGGCCACUGGUGCAAAAGUAUCAAUGUAAUCUUCCCCAUAAGUCUGUGUAAAUCCUCUUGCAACCAGCCUAGUCUUGCGCCUAUCUAUCUCCCCAUUUGCAAGGUACUUGAUGGUGAAGAUCCAUCUGCUUGAAACUGCCUUCUUCCCUUUAGGUAACUCACUCUCAUACCAAGUAUCAUUCCUGAUCAUUGCAUCCCUUUCAUCUCCUACUGAAUCUCUCCAAACCUUGUGCUUCAUAGCUUCUUCAUAAGAUCUUGGUAUCUCAUUCUCAUCCAAGUUACACAUAAACACCAUGUGCUCUUCUGGAAACUCUGCAAAGGAACACACGGCUUGAGAGGGAUGCUCCACAGCCUGGGCAUUGUAGUACACUCUCGUGUUUACCCAGUUGGAAGGAUCCCUCCUUAUCCUUGUGCUCCUCCGCAAGGUCUCAACCUGUUCUUCAGCCUGAACAUUCUCUUGUACUUCCUCUCUUAAACCAGUAGGUUCUCCCUGCUCAUUUCCACCUGACUGAGCUUCACUCUCUACUUCCUGUGUCUCCUCCUGAUCAUGCUGACCUGAAUCCUCUUGGUUAUGCUCCUGCUCCCCUGAUUCAGAUCCAUUCCCCCUCUCAUGAUCAAGAGGGGUUGUUCCUCCAGCUUCUCCAGCUUGAUUAGAAGGUCCGGUUCUUCCUGGUUCCUGAUCUUGGGAUAAUCCUAUCCCUAGCCUCUCCAACAACACUCUCAAUGUUGUUGCCUUCUCUGAUGGAGCUCGGGACAGAUCCUCUAGGUCUUCCCAUUUCUUCUCCUCAUAAUACCCUUUAGACUCAACAAACUUCACUUCUCUAGAUACCAUAACCCUCCUAGUUAUUGGAUCAUAACAUUUGUAGCCUUUCUGAGUGAUUGAGUACCCAAUGAACAUAGCUUUAGUACUCUUUGCUUCUAGCUUGUUCCUUCUUUCUCCGGGAAUCAUCACAUAACAUAAGCACCCAAAGACUCUCAAAUGAUCAAUGUGUGGCUUGGCCUUGUUCAAUACUUCAAAGGGAGACAGUUUCUUCAAGACACGGGUUGGCACUCUAUUGAUGAGAUAGCAAGCAGUCUGAACAGCAUCACUCCAAAACCUCUUCGGAACAUUCAUGUGGAACAUGAUUGAUCUCGCAACCUCCAUCAAAUGUCUGUUCUUCCUCUCAGCCACCCCAUUUUGUUGUGGUGUGUAAGGACAGCUAGUUUGUUGCACAAUCCCAUGCUUUGCAAGAUGACUCUUGAAAGCAUUGCUAGUGUAUUCUCCUCCAUUAUCAGACCUCAGAAUCCUCACAGUGGCAUUGUACUGAUUAGUAACAUAUGCUUGGAAGUUCAUGAAGGCUUCUAGGACUCUGUCUUUGGAGGGAAUCAUGGUGAUCCAUGUAUACUUGGACUUCUCAUCAAUGAAAGUCACAAAGUACUUAUGGCUGUCUCUAGACAUACAGGGAGCUGUCCACACGUCUGAAUGCACCAGAUCAAAGCAAUUCUCAUAUCUGGUUUCUGAUGUUGGGAAGACAGUCCUACAGUGCUUUCCAAGUAUACAAGCUUCACACUCCAAGUGAUUGAACGCCAUACUUGGUAGAAUCAGUUCAAUUGCCUUGGCAUGAGGAUGUCCCAGCCUUGCAUGCCAUGUGAGAUUAUCACACCUAUCCGUUGUGCUGCUUAAACACACAGACUCCACAGGACUAGGCGCCUCAGUUGUUUGGAGAUGAUAGAGCUGAUGCUUGCUGUCUCCUCUGCCAAUAACCCUUCCAGUCUUCAAAUCCUGGAACUCAACUUCAUUUGGUCUGAAAACCACUUGACAAUCCAGAUCAACUGUAGCCUUCUUAACUGAGAUUAGAUUGGAUGUAAACUGAGGUAGGUAGAAGGCAGUGGAGUUCUUCUCAAACAGCUUGAGGUUUCCCACUCCUUCUAUUGGGAUCCUGGUACCAUUGGCUAUCAUGACACUCCCUGUUGCUGCUUUAACCUCACUGAUUAGUCUCUUGUCACUGAUCAUGUGGUGUGUUGCUCCAGAGUCAAUGAUGAUGGGUUUAGAUGUGGAUGCUUUGGCAGGAGCACCCAGACUCCGGGUCGUAGCCAAAGCAUACACAUGCUUAACCAACUCAUCCCAUUCCUUCUUUGUCACACACUCAUCUGCCCUCUUGGUAUCCAUUCCUCUCAUAUCCGCACUGUCUCCUACUGUCUCUCCCAUGUAAGCUGAGUAUGAACACUCUCCUAUAACCAUCUGCUGAAGUACAUCCUUGAUUCUCUUCAAGAUUACACUCAUCCUGUCACUUAAGUGCUCAGACUCGCUAUCCUUUCUCCAUGCCCUUCUCUUCAUUAACCACUCCUUAGAAAGUUUUCUCAACCUUCCCCUCUUACAGCUUGUACCUGCCUUCCAUCUUUCUGGCUUCCUGUUCAUUUCCCACACAUCACAAGUAUAUUUAACAAGCUCACAUACCUCUUCCAUAAGGAAGCUGAAGAUCACAUCUUGCUUCCUCCUUUCUUGACAACAUCUCGGAUUUGAUGUGUGUGUCUUCACCACAUCUAGCUCCGACCAUACUUCUCUCAGCCUUCCCACAAGCUGAUAACACUCAUCCUCUCCUUGUCUCAAGCCGCGGAUCACCCCUCUGUCCUCAACGACUCUCACAAGCUUGGACUUGCCUAAAGUUGCUUCAAUCUCACUCUUUGUAGUGUCUCCUUGAACAACUUCAUUUCCCAGCUUCAGACCUCUUGUCUGACCUUCUUCAGUAGCCAUUUCCAUGAAAGGUUUCCCCUUUCCAUGACUACUCCAUAACCCACAGCUUUCCAAAGCUCUCUUUGCCCAUCUUGACCAAUCGCCAUCCCUCUCUUCUUCAAGCUCCAUGGUUGUACUAGAUCUGUGCUUCAUUUCCAUGUUGAGAUAGUUUGAAUCCAUCAGAAUAUCUCACACCACUCAGAUAAUAAAGACCAGAACUCAAGAACACCAAGAACACUCAAGAACCCUCAAGAACACUCAGAUUUUAUGAAAAACGAAAUCACACUCUCCCCUUUUUAGCAACCUGGCUCUGAUACCAUAUACACUUUUGUGUAUUAGAGCAUGAUUCAACCAAUCAGGGAUAAUCAGAUGAAAAGAUUAAAGAGAUUAAGAGAUUCUAGUGAGAGAAUAAAGAGAGAGAGACUCAAAACUCCAUUAAUUAAUAACUGAUGAGGUUUACAAGUAUUAAUAGAGAGAGCAACAAGGAAAUUCGAAAUGGUCAAGCAUGUGUAGUCAAAGGACAGGCUGGAACUCCUCUUGAAUCACUUGGCUGUGCUUUCUCACAUGCUUGCACUAGUAUAAAGGUAACUUCUCCUUUCCAGCAUCAUACAGGCUGUCAAAGUGAUCCCUUAUCCUUCCUUAACCUCACUUAUCUUCUUUGGUCGAGUUUCCUCUCUUCUCUUCACUAAGUUACCUUCUCAUCCCAUUAGAUAACUUCCCCAAGUAGUUACUGUGGUUAAAAUAAAGUUACCACAGUAAAACUCUAAAGUUCAGUAAGACAUUAGAGGAGUUUAGGAGGAAAUGGUCGAUGGUGCAAAGUUAGGGUCGGCUGUACGGACGGCCGUACGUGUUAAAAUGAGUUGUUCAGUACAUGGGGAGAUGGCUUAAGGAGUUGAGGAUGUGAGAAUGUGAAGGCAAAGGGAAGGAAGGUUAGGGAUCGACCAGGCCGUACAAGAGGCCGUACCGGCCGUACCGUCCGUACUGUCUGGGUCGAUCCAUAACUCGACCAAGAGGAAAGUUACCCGGGUGAAAGGGUUAAACGGCCAAAGGGGUUUUACUUUAGGAGAUAAGACCGUUUGGAUGGAUAGAGUGACCGCGGCUUAUCCUGACAGUCUGGCACAGGCUGUAAAGGCAAAAGGAGUCUCACCAAAAGAUGCCAUAAGCGUGUGAUCUUCCUCAAUGGUUUACAUUUGAAUUAAAGCAACCUUAUCCUUGACCACACAUGCUUAGAGCUUCUGAAUACCCUAAUGUCUCUCUCUAUAUAUUGUAAACUCUAUCUUGAUUAAUGAUUAACACGAGUUUGUCAGAUUCUCUCUCUAGUUCAUCAUGUUUCUCUUCUACAUUUCAUAAAUCAUCUCAUCUCACUUUAAUCUUUCUCUAAAUCUCUCAAUACCUGUUCAACUCUCUAGAAUCAUAUGGUAUCAGAGCCAGGUUGGCUUUGGUAUUGAGAUUUAGAGUGUUCUUCAGCUUCAGUUCAUACUCUUUCAUACUUUCUUUUCGGUUCUAACAAAGCAAGAUGGAGGGAAACUACAAGGUCAUUACGGUUCCUGUUGCGUUGAAGGGUGGUAGUAACUACCUGUUGUGGUCAAGGCUGGUGAAGACAGCCAUUGGGAGGCUAGGGCUGUGGAGUCACAUCACGGAUGAUGCAACCAAGCCAGUGGCUAAAGACGGAGAAGGAGCUGAAGGUGUGGGAGAUCAAGUUGCUGCUGCCGAGAAGAAGUGGAUUCAAGAAGACUUGAUGGUGCUUUCAGUGCUACAAGGGUCCCUUGAAGAGCAUCUCUUGGAGGCCUACAGCUACUGCGAGACUCCAAAACACCUGUGGGAGGUACUCCAGAAGACAUUUGGGAACGUUACCAAUCUGAACCGCGUGUAUGAGAUUAAGAAGGCCAUCAACACACUGGUUCAAGAUGGGGAAGAGUUCACCAAGCAUUUGGGCAAGUAUAGAUCCUUGUGGUCUGAGCUUGAAUCAUUGAGGCCAAGCACCGCGGAUCAAGAGCUACUCAUGGAGAGGAGGGAGCAGGAUCAGGUGUUUGGAUUGCUGCUGACACUAGAUCCUCCAUUCAAUGAUGUGAUCAAGCACAUGUUGAGGAUGCCGAGUCUUCCAUCUAUGGAGGAAGUGUGUGCGCAGAUUCAGAAGGAAGAGGGGUCACUUGGUAUGUUUGGAGGGAAAGGAGACAUGGCUCUGUCCAACAAGGCUGAAGCAAUCCAAGCACACAAGGCUGCUUACCGUGGAGAGGAAAGGAAGUUCAGUGGAAACUGUGACCAUUGCAAGUAUUAGAUUUGAUGAUUUAAAGAGUGAUUAACUCUAAUCUGAGAAUUAAAGAGAUUGGAGAUUAAGAACAAGAGAGAGACUUAAGAGAGAGAGACUCAAAACUCCAUUAAUUAAUACUGAUGAGGGUUUACAAGUAUAUAAAGAGAGAGCAACAAGGAAUUUCGAAAUGUAUAAGCAUGUGUAGUCAAAGGACAGGCUGGAACUCCUUUUGAAUCACUUGGCUGUGCUUUCUCACAUGCUUGCACUAGUAGAAAAGCAUCCUCUCCUUUCCAGCAUCAUACAGGCUGUCAAAGUGCUCCCUUAUCCUUCCUUAUCCUCUUUGGUCGAGUUUACUCUCUUCCCUUCACUAAGUUACCUUCUCAUGCCAUCAGAUAACUCCCCAAGUUGUUACUGUGGUUAAACUAAAGUUACCACAGUAAAACUCCAAAGUUACUGUCUACUCCAACUCUCUUCCUCUCUCAAUAUAUCAAC
rnacentral:lncRNA from 1 species